GAUUUUUAAAAUGAAUAUCAAAGUUGUUUACGUACGUUUCUAUGAAAUGUUCAUGAAAACAAAACGUCAUGCACCAUAUAAACUGCAGACUCUCAAAAAAUAAUCCCAAUACGAGAAUAUAAUACCAAUGUUGUGUACUGGGAUCUUGAGAUAAAAUAACAAGUAUUGACUAAUGGGUCGCCAUCACGUGACUAUUUUGAUGUGGUGUUUGCUUAUUCUCCACUUAAGCAUAACCACUUCCUGCUCCCUGGAACAGUGUCAGACCAACGUCAGGAAAAGUUUUGAGAAGUGUAAGCUCGGCUGCAUUUCAGUGAAUCAGCUAUAUUUCUUAAGAUGCAUGAAGACGUGCACUGUUAAUUACUCAAAGGAUUUGACGUUGUGUCUCCUAAACAUGUGACCGAACUACUCUGUGACGUUGUGUCUCCUAAACACAUGAUCGAACUAUACUGUGACGUUGUGUCUCCUAAACACGUGACCGAACUACUCUGUAGCUGAGAUAAUGUGCCUUAAUAAAUCCUAACAAAGUUCCGUUGUGAACAGGGAGCAAUUUCAGUGUGUAUUCUCGUUAUCCAUGAUGUUCCGUCUGCCGUUUCGAAAUCACACCAGGAUUCUUUGUUGACUAUAGAGACGUGUUAUCGUGAUCUAUACUGAAAUAAUCGCAUGUUUUAAUUUUUAUUUUUUUUUAGACCUAGUAGUUUUUUAAUCAGUAGAAAGAUAUAUGAGACAUUGCUGAAUGCAAUUGUCAGGUAGUCUCUGGAAGGAUUGGAUUGGUGUCGGUGAAAAUAUUAUAUUACAAAAACGCAAUAAACAAGAUCUGACAAAA